rnacentral:rRNA from 2 species
AGUCAUAUGCUUGUCUCAAAGAUUAAGCCAUGCAUGUCUCAGUACAAGCCCGAUUAAGGUGAAACCGCGAAAGGCUCAUUAAAUCAGUUAUGGUUCCUUAGAUCGUACCCACACUUACUUGGAUAACUGUGGUAAUUCUAGAGCUAAUACAUGCAAACAGAGCUCCGACCGGAGACGGGAGGAGUGCUUUUAUUAGAACAAAACCAAUCGGCGGCGGGCGCGUUCGCGCGUCCGUUCGCCGCUCAACCUGGUGACUCUGAAUAACUUUCCGCUGAUCGCACGGUCUCGCACCGGCGACGCAUCUUUCAAAUGUCUGCCUUAUCAACUGUCGAUGGUAGGUUCUGCGCCUACCAUGGUCGUAACGGGUAACGGGGAAUCAGGGUUCGAUUCCGGAGAGGGAGCCUGAGAAACGGCUACCACAUCCAAGGAAGGCAGCAGGCGCGCAAAUUACCCACUCCCGGCACGGGGAGGUAGUGACGAAAAAUAACGAUACGGGACUCAUCCGAGGCCCCGUAAUCGGAAUGAGUACACUUUAAAUCCUUUAACAAGGACCAAUUGGAGGGCAAGUCUGGUGCCAGCAGCCGCGGUAAUUCCAGCUCCAAUAGCGUA